UCUGGCCACAGCAGGAAGAAGAGGCGCCCGGAAAACCUUAGCUCUUGGCUAUCUCUUCCCUGAGCACACCCUGGCCCUGGGGCCUGAGAUCUCUCCAUGCAGGGGCAGCCAUGAGCUCCGGGGGCAGCAGCAAGGCUGGCCACACCACCCAUCAGCCACCUCCAGCCCCGCCGCUCAACCAGCCAUCAGUCCCUUAACUGCCAGUGUUCGUGGACCAUGCAAAACAACCAAGCAAGGGACUCAUUAAGCCCAAAGCAAUUUUAGGGUGCCCAGUGGAGAGACUCACAGAGGCUGCUAGUGCCGAUGCUGCUGGUGCUGCUGCUGAGGAGUGCCCAGGACCAGGUGCCAGGGGAGUUGGAGUCAAUAACCACCACUGUCAGAUCUACUGACCCCCAAGCCAGUUUCUCCAGUCAGGAGAUCCCAGCCAGCCUAGAAGCAGGCUCACAGUUUUCCAUGGAGGGCUUGGAUAAUAAACUGAUCCUGGAUGUUGGUGGCAUACGCCACCUGAUCUACAUCAGCACCAUGAGGGCCUUUCCAGGAGGAAGAGAAGGGACCAUCUCAGGUAUGACUUCAAAUCAAGCCACUGGGUUGUCUGAGAAGUACCCCAAGCAACUAGUCUGGACUGGGAGGUUGAAUUGAGUCCUUGCUGUUGCUGAAGCUGUGAGAAUAAUUCUGUUUAAAAAACUUUUAAAUAAAAUAUCCUUCAAAAUAUUCUACACAGCUAAAUGAGAAGCGGAACUGGGAAUCUUUUUUGCAAACAAAACUCUGGCCCAUUAAGAACUCUCUGCUGCCUUGUGAAGG
rnacentral:lncRNA from 1 species